UUGCUUUAGCAGCAAAUAUACUAAUAUUGGAACAAUACAGAGAAUAUUAGCAUGACCCCUGCACAAGGAUGCUUUGUAAAUUCAUAAGGUAUCCAUCACUUUU
ensembl:snRNA U6 U6 spliceosomal RNA